rnacentral:rRNA from 1 species
UCGGGUUGUAAAGCACUUUUGUCCGGAAAGAAAACGUUCUCCCUAAUAUGGAGAGCGGAUGACGGUACCGGAAGAAUAAGCACCGGCUAACUACGUGCCAGCAGCGCGGUAAUCGUAGGGUGCAAGCGUUAAUCGGAAUUACUGGGCGUAAAGCGUGCGCAGGCGGUUCGCUAAGACCGAUGUGAAAUCCCCGGGCUUAACCUGGGAACUGCAUUGGUGACUGGCGGGCUAGAGUAUGGCAGAGGGGGGUAGAAUUCCACGUGUAGCAGUGAAAUGCGUAGAGAUGUGGAGGAAUACCGAUGGCGAAGGCAGCCCCCUGGGCCAAUACUGACGCUCAUGCACGAAAGCGUGGGGAGCAAACAGGAUUAGAUACCCUGGUAGUCCACGCCCUAAACGAUGUCAACUGGUUGUCGGGCCUUCAUUGGCUUGGUAACGUAGCUAACGCGUGAAGUUGACCGCCUGGGGAGUACGGUCGCAAGAUUAAAACUCAAAGGAAUUGACGGGGACCCGCACAAGCGGUGGAUGAAGGUGGAUUAAUUCGAUGCAACGCGAAAAACCUUACCUACCCUUGACAUGUACGGAACCUUGCUG